CCAAGGCUAAAUACUCCCUAGUGAUCGAUAGUGAACCAGUACCGUGAGGGAAAGGUGAAAAGCACCCCGGAAGGGGAGUGAAAGAGAUCCUGAAACCGUGUGCCUACAAAUAGUCAGAGCCCGUUAAUGGGUGAUGGCGUGCCUUUUGUAGAAUGAACCGGCGAGUUACGAUCCCGUGCGAGGUUAAGCUGAAGAGGCGGAGCCGCAGCGAAAGCGAGUCUGAAUAGGGCGUUUAGUACGUGGUCGUAGACCCGAAACCAGGUGAUCUACCCAUGUCCAGGGUGAAGUUCAGGUAACACUGAAUGGAGGCCCGAACCCACGCACGUUGAAAAGUGCGGGGAUGAGGUGUGGGUAGCGGAGAAAUUCCAAUCGAACCUGGAGAUAGCUGGUUCUCCCCGAAAUAGCUUUAGGGCUAGCCUUAAGUGUAAGAGUCUUGGAGGUAGAGCACUGAUUGGACUAGGGGUCCUCAUCGGAUUACCGAAUUCAGUCAAACUCCGAAUGCCAAUGACUUAUCCUUAGGAGUCAGACUGCGAGUGAUAAGAUCCGUAGUCAAAAGGGAAACAGCCCAGACCGCCAGCUAAGGUCCCAAAGUGUGUAUUAAGUGGAAAAGGAUGUGGAGUUGCUUAGACAACUAGGAUGUUGGCUUAGAAGCAGCCACCAUUUAAAGAGUGCGUAAUAGCUCACUAGUCGAGUGACUCUGCGCCGAAAAUGUACCGGGGCUAAAUACACCACCGAAGCUGCGGAUUGAUACCAAUGGUAUCAGUGGUAGGGGAGCGUUCUAAGGACAGUGAAGUCAGACCGGAAGGACUGGUGGAGUGCUUAGAAGUGAGAAUGCCGGUAUGAGUAGCGAAAGACGGGUGAGAAUCCCGUCCACCGAAUGCCUAAGGUUUCCUGAGGAAGGCUCGUCCGCUCAGGGUUAGUCAGGACCUAAGCCGAGGCCGACAGGCGUAGGCGAUGGACAACAGGUUGAUAUUCCUGUACCACCUCUUUAUCGUUUGAG
rnacentral:rRNA from 1 species